rnacentral:tRNA from 1 species
GUUGUCUUAGUAUAAAGAGUAUUAUUAUCUUCCACAUAAUAGGUUUAAACAAAAUUAAAGGCAAUA